rnacentral:ncRNA from 1 species
AGAUCCCACCUGUUUACCAAAAACAUCACCUCUAGCACUCCAAGAAUUAGAGGAACUGCCUGCCCGGUGACAAGUCAGUUUAAUGUCCACAGUGUCCUGACUGUGCAAAGGUAGCAUAAUCACUUGUCCUUUAAAUGAGGACUUGCAUGAAGGCCCAAUGAGAAUUU